GACGAACGCUGGCGGCGCGCUUAACACAUGCAAGUCGAACGGAAAGGCCUGCUUUCCCUUGUGGAUUGCGGGUACUCGAGUGUCGAACGGGUGAGUAACACGUGAGUGAUCUGCCCCCAACUUGUGUAUAAGCCUGGGAAACUGGGUCUAAUUCCCGAUAGGACUGCAGGGUGGUGCCUGUGGUUGAAAACGAUUGUCUAGUGGUUGGGGAUGAGCUCGCGGCCUAUGAGCUAGUGGGUGGGGUAAUGGCCUACCAAGGCGGCGACGGGUAGCCGGCCCGGGGGAGUGGGCGGGCGCAUUGGAACUGCGAUACGGCCCAGGAUCCUACGGGCGGAAGCCGUGGGGAAUCAUGAGUGAUGGACGGAAGACUAAUGCCGGGACGCCGCGUGGGCGAUGACGGCCGUCGGGUUGUAAACUCCUUUUGGCAGCUAGGAAGCGACCUGGUUGGAGGGGUGGUGACGGUAGUGGUAGAAGAAGCACCGGCUAACUACGUG
rnacentral:rRNA from 1 species